rnacentral:rRNA from 1 species
UACGUAGGAGGCGAGCGUUGUCCGGAAUUACUGGGCGUAAAGAGCGCGUAGGCGGCACGGUACGACCGGUGUGAAAGCCCCCGGCUCAACUGGGAGGGUCAUCGGUAACGGUCGUGCUAUGAGUGCAGGAGAGGAAGUGGAACUCCGGGAGUAGCGGUGAAAUGCGUAGAGACCCGCAAAGAACACCAGUGGCGAAAGGCGGCUCACUG